rnacentral:rRNA from 1 species
CGUAGGGUCCGAGCGUUGUCCGGAGUUACUGGGCGUAAAGCGCGCGCAGGCGGCGGUGUAAGCAUGGCGUGAAAGCCCCAGGCUCAACCUGGGAGGGUCGUCGUGGACUGCACCGCUUGAGGGCGGUAGGGGCUGGUGGAAUGCCUGGUGUAGUGGUGAAAUGCGUAGAGAUCAGGCGGAACACCCGUGGCGAAGGCGGCCAGCUGGGCCGUCCCUGACGCUGAGGCGCGAAGGCGUGGGGAGCGAACGGGAUUAGAUACCCCGGUAGUCCACGCAGUAAACGAUGCAGACUAGGCGUGGGGGGAGUUGACCCCCUCCGUGCCGGAGCCAACGCGGGAAGUCUGCCGCCUGGGGAGUACGGCCGCAAGGCUA